UCCACUUAGAAAAUUAAAUGGUUAAAAAUGAGGAUAUUGCAUUUCACAGUAGUUUUAUGUAGCCUCAUUGAUUUCAGAUUUAAACUCUGCCAAGUCAAAAUGUUGGCUUUCUUACACAGGCAGUAAAUGGACGGAAUGGGCACCGGUUUUUAAAAGCAUCUAAGCAGCAAAGGAGCAGCGACGGACAUUGCAUCUUUGACUUCUCCGACAUGUUAGAAGGAGGAAAACAUGGGCCUUAGUCUCUCCUGCCUGAAAGGCUUUAAGACGUGCGUCAGCAGAGGGAGCGCGGCUGGUGUCAGCAGCCAGGGGCCCGUCAAGCACCUGCGAGUCCCAGACAUCAUCAUCACGCCCCCCACUCCCACGGGGAGGGCGCUGUCGGGCGACGCUGCCAGGCAGGCGGGGGAGGAAGCCCGGCAGAACUGCUGAGCCAGAUGGCUGGAGACGCAGCGACCAGGACUGUGCAACUGCCAUUCAAGAGCCCGGCUCUGCGAACGGCCCCCUCAGGACCUCCUCCGUGCCUCUGGACUUCCCUGCAGCCUCCUCCCUUUGCUUUCCUCUUCCUCCCAGCAGGCUUGGGGAAGAUGCCUUGAUGGAGCCACAUGGGCCUCACCGUGCGGACCUUCGCACCGUUCGAAGUGUGCAAGGAGC